rfam:[Clostridium] sordellii strain JGS6382 genome assembly, chromosome: 1
AAUCUGGCAAUGAAAAGGAAGAGUAAAGUAGAAACAGUUUACAGAGAGGAUAUAUCAGAGGCUGUGAGUAUAUCUAAAUAUGACUAUUUGAAAACUACCUUGGAGCUGAGUUUAGUAACUUAUAAAAGUGAAAGUGCUCGGUUGACUACCUUAUAGUCGUCAAGAGGGUAAUACAUAUACGUAUGCCAACUUGGGUGGAACCGCGAAGAGUACUCGUCCCAUGA